rnacentral:lncRNA from 1 species
AGUUGUAAACCUUCGUAAGGUAUCAAAACUGGAGAAACAUGUAAAGGCUAACUCACAAACUACGAAAGGUGUUCGAUAAGCGAAAAUCACGUGAGUACCUAAGGGACAGCAGAAUGUCUCUUUUUUCAACAAUAAAUGCCUGCAUAUCGAGUAAAACAACCUACACAGAGAAAAUGAUAUACAAGUAUCUUGAGAAGCACCAGGAGGCAGAACUCUGGGAUUGCUCAAGAAGGUUUUUUGUGCCCACCCACUCUUUCCUGGAUGAGUUUCAUGCAGAAGAUACGCCGUAAAUCUGCUUGUCCAGUUGCCAAUCUUUCAUAUACAUUUUUCGCCUUUGUUUCUGUCGUCGCAGUCAUCAGACAUCUAAGGUUGCAUCAAGGGAGAUCCACCAUCAAGAUGUUGACAUUUUCACUGAGCGACACCUGGAAACAUACAGGAUACAAUGUCUGAGUGAAACUGCCAGGAGAAAAUGCAUUUCGGCUUUC